rnacentral:lncRNA from 1 species
CCCCUAUUUAUAGGGGAGGGACGUCCAUGCAAGUUGAUAAGCAUGGGAGAGGUGGCAAAAUGUGAUUGGCUACUUAAACCUCCUCAAGCUUCAUCCUUAUACUUAUCUCUUACUUUCCUUAGCCUUUAAGUAAUUCUGGAGUAUUUUAAUAUUAUCCAAACUCCUCCCAUGUCUUAUCCACCUUCUAGGAGCUUCCAUACCAAAUUUGGGCUCCAUUCGAUAUGUUUUGGGCCGCCUUAGGCCCACCUAAACCCAUAAGGCCCAAAACUGCACUCCAUGCACAUGCCUUUACUUCAAACAG